rnacentral:rRNA from 1 species
GACGAACGCUGGCGGCGUGCUUAACACAUGCAAGUCGAACGAAGUGGCGAACGGGUGAGUAACGCGUAAUCAACCUGCCAUUCAGAGGGGGACAACAGUUGGAAACGACUGCUAAUACCGCAUACAGAAGGAGGGGAUUGCGUGUGAUUAGCUAGUUGGGGGGGUAACGGCCCAACAAGGCGAUGAUCAGUAGCCGGUCUGGGAGGCUGAACGGCCACAUUGGGACUGGAACACGGCCCAGACUCCUACGGGAGGCAGCAGUGGGGAAUCUUCCGCAAUGGACGAAAGUCUGACGGAGCAACGCCGCGUGAGUGAUGACGGCCUUCGGGUUGUAAAGCUCUGUUAAUCGGGACGCGGUACCGGAAUAGAAAGCCACGGCUAACUACGUGCCAGCAGCCGCGGUAAUUC